rnacentral:rRNA from 1 species
GACGAACGCUGGCGGCGUGCUUAACACAUGCAAGUCGAACGGAAAGGCCCUGCUUUUGUGGGGUGCUCGAGUGGCGAACGGGUGAGUAACACGUGAGUAACCUGCCCUUGACUUUGGGAUAACUUCAGGAAACUGGGGCUAAUACCGGAUAGGAGCUCCUGCUGCAUGGUGGGGGUUGGAAAGUUUCGGCGGUUGGGGAUGGACUCGCGGCUUAUCAGCUUGUUGGUGGGGUAGUGGCUUACCAAGGCUUUGACGGGUAGCCGGCCUGAGAGGGUGACCGGCCACAGUGGGACUGAGGUGCGGCGCAGACGGCUACGGGAGGCAGCAGGGGGGAAUAUGGCACAAGGGGCGGAAGCCUGAUGCAGCAACGCCGCGUGGGGGAUGACGGCCUUCGGGUUGUAAACCGCGUUCGCCUGUGACGAAGCGUGAGUGACGGUAAUGGGUAAAGACGCACCGGCUAACUACGUG